rnacentral:rRNA from 1 species
CACUAGUGUAAAUCGUCAUUGCUGCGGUUAAAAAGCUCGUAGUUGGAUCUGAGUUGCAUGCAGUGGUUCGCCUUUGGCGUUAAUCACUGUUGCGACUAUUUGCUGGUUUUCUGCAGAGAUUUCGAUUUCUGUAGUGGCUAGCGAGUUUACUUUGAAUAAAUUAGAGUGCUCAGAACAAGCGUUUGCUUGAAUGAUCGAUCAUGGAAUAAUAAAAGAGGACUUCGGUUCUAUUUAUUGGUUCAGGAACUGAAAUAAUGGUUAAGAGGGACAAUUCGGGGGCAUUCGUAUCCCUGCGCGAGAGGUGAAAUUCGUGGACCGCAGGGGGACGCCCUAAAGCGAAAGCAUUUGCCAAGAAUGUCUUCAUUAAUCAAGAACGAAAGUCAGAGGUUCGAAGGCGAUUAGAUACCGCCCUAGUUCUGACCGUAAACUAUGCCAUCUAGCGAUCCGAUGGGGUAUUGUUGCCUUGUCGAGGAGCUUCCCGGAAACGAAAGUCUUUCGGUUCCUGGGGUAGUAUGGUUGCAAAGCUGAAACUUAAAGAAAUUGACGGAAUGGCACCACCAGGAGUGGAGCCUGCGGCUUAAUUUGACUCAACACGGGAAAACUCACCCGGCCCGGACACCGUAAGGAUUGACAGAUUGAAAGCUCUUUCUCGAUUUGGUGGUUGGUGGUGCAUGGCCGUUCUUAGUUGGUGGAGCGAUUUGUCUGGUUUAUUCCGAUAACGAGCGAGACUCUAGCCUGCUAAAUAGUGACUGGAUUUUCACGUCUAGUUCACUUCUUAGAGGGAUAAGCGGUGUUUAGCCGCACGAGAUUGAGCGAUAACAGGUCUGUGAUGCCCUUAGAUGUUCGGGGCUGCACGCGCGCUACAAUGGAAGAAUCAGCUGGCCUACCCAUUGCCGAAAGGUAUUGGUAAACCGUUGAAACUCUUCCGUGACCGGGAUAGGGAAUUGUAAUUAUUUCCCUUGAACGAGGAAUUCCUAGUAAGUGUGAGUCAUCAGCUCACGCUGAUUACGUCCCUGCCAUUUGUACACACCGCCCGUCGCUGUCCGGGACUGAGCUGUCUCGAGAGGACUGCGGACUACUGUAUUGAGGCCUUCGGGUUGCGAUAUGGCGGGAAACAGUUCAAUCGCAAUGGCUUGAACCGGGUAAAAGUCGUAACAAGGUAUCUGUAGGUGAACCUGCAGAUGGAUCAUCG